GCGCCUAACACAUGCAAGUCGAACGAGAGAUGAAGAGCUUGCUCUUCAAAUCGAGUGGCGAACGGGUGAGUAACGCGUGAGGAACCUGCCUCAAAGAGGGGGACAACAGUUGGAAACGACUGCUAAUACCGCAUAAGCCCACGGCUCGGCAUCGAGCAGAGGGAAAAGGAGCAAUCCGCUUUGAGAUGGCCUCGCGUCCGAUUAGCUAGUUGGUGAGGUAACGGCCCACCAAGGCGACGAUCGGUAGCCGGACUGAGAGGUUGAACGGCCACAUUGGGACUGAGACACGGCCCAGACUCCUACGGGAGGCAGCAGUGGGGAAUAUUGCACAAUGGGGGAAACCCUGAUGCAGCGACGCCGCGUGGAGGAAGAAGGUCUUCGGAUUGUAAACUCCUGUUGUUGAGGAAGAUAAUGACGGUACUCAACAAGGAAGUGACGGCUAACUACGUGCCAGCAGCCGCGGUAAAACGUAGGUCACAAGCGUUGUCCGGAAUUACUGGGUGUAAAGGGAGCGCAGGCGGGAGAACAAGUUGGAAGUGAAAUCCAUGGGCUCAACCCAUGAACUGCUUUCAAAACUGUUUUUCUUGAGUAGUGCAGAGGUAGGCGGAAUUCCCGGUGUAGCGGUGGAAUGCGUAGAU
rnacentral:rRNA from 1 species